AUUGAACGCUGGCGGCGGCCUAACACAUGCAAGUCGAACGGUAACAGGAAGCAGCUUGCUGCUUUGCUGACGAGUGGCGGACGGGUGAGUAAUGUCUGGGAAACUGCCUGAUGGAGGGGGAUAACUACUGGAAACGGUAGCUAAUACCGCAUAACGUCGCAAGACCAAAGAGGGGGACCUUAGGGCCUCUUGCCAUCGGAUGUGCCCAGAUGGGAUUAGCUAGUAGGUGGGGUAAAGGCUCACCUAGGCGACGAUCCCUAGCUGGUCUGAGAGGAUGACCAGCCACACUGGAACUGAGACACGGUCCAGACUCCUACGGGAGGCAGCAGUGGGGAAUAUUGCACAAUGGGCGCAAGCCUGAUGCAGCCAUGCCGCGUGUAUGAAGAAGGCCUUCGGGUUGUAAAGUACUUUCAGCGGGGAGGAAGGGAGUAAAGUUAAUACCUUUGCUCAUUGACGUUACCCGCAGAAGAAGCACCGGCUAACUCCGUGCCAGCAGCCGCGGUAAUACGGAGGGUGCAAGCGUUAAUCGGAAUUACUGGGCGUAAAGCGCACGCAGGCGGUUUGUUAAGUCAGAUGUGAAAUCCCCGGGCUCAACCUGGGAACUGCAUCUGAUACUGGCAGGCUUGAGUCUCGUAGAGGGGGGUAGAAUUCCAGGUGUAGCGGUGAAAUGCGUAGAGAUCUGGAGGAAUACCGGUGGCGAAGGC
rnacentral:rRNA from 1 species